GUGGGAGGGGGCUUGCUCCCGAUGGCGGCGUGUCAGUCAACCGAUGUAUGGGCUGACACACUGCUAUCGGGAGCAAGCCCCCUCCCAC
rnacentral:misc_RNA from 1 species